rnacentral:rRNA from 1 species
UACGUAGGGGGCAAGCGUUGUCCGGAAUCAUUGGGCGUAAGGCGCGUGUAGGCGGCUUGGUAAGUCUGCUCUGAAAGCCCGGGGCUCAACCCAGGGAGGCGGGUGGAUACUGUCAAGCUCGAGUCCGGAAGAGGAGUGUGGAAUUCCUGGUGUAGCGGUGAAAUGCGUAGAUAUCAGGAGGAACACCUGCGGUGUAGACGGCUUUCUGGACCAUUGCUGACGCUGAGACACGAAAGCGUGGGUAGCAAACAGG